rnacentral:rRNA from 1 species
GUGGGGAAUAUUGCACAAUGGGCGAAAGCCUGAUGCAGCAACGCCGCGUGAGGGACGACGGCCUUCGGGUUGUAAACCUCUUUUAGUAGGGAAGAAGCGAAAGUGACGGUACCUGCAGAAAAAGCACCGGCUAACUACGUGCCAGCAGCCGCGGUAAUACGUAGGGUGCAAGCGUUGUCCGGAAUUAUUGGGCGUAAAGAGCUCGUAGGCGGUUUGUCGCGUCUGCUGUGAAAACCCGAGGCUCAACCUCGGGCCUGCAGUGGGUACGGGCAGACUAGAGUGCGGUAGGGGAGAUUGGAAUUCCUGGUGUAGCGGUGGAAUGCGCAGAUAUCAGGAGGAACACCGAUGGCGAAGGCAGAUCUCUGGGCCGUAACUGACGCUGAGGAGCGAAAGCGUGGGGAGCGAACAGGAUUAGAAACCCCGGUAGUCC